ensembl:lncRNA
GGGAUGUUAACCCUUUCAAUGAUGGAGACUUGUUCGGUUCUCUCUAAUCACGUUUCCAGACAACCAUUCUGGAAACAAACCACGUCAUGUUCUGAAGGAGGAGAGGUGAAUGGAAUCUAAAAGAAGGUGCAUUCUGUUCUAAGAAUACUGAACAACAAAAAUCAAAACAUGCAAAGAAAGAAAUGACAGAGAGAUCUUGAUAGUACCAAUGAUUCAUUGCUCCAUGGACUUCAGUGUCUUCAAGAGUUAACUGGAGAAUAGGAAGGCAAGACGUUCAAGAAGUCUGGGGAAAAAGCAAGGGCUCAGCCACAUUGGUUCACUCCUGAGACUCCAUCCAAGCCAGCAGAAGGUUCCAGAAGCACAAGACCUGGUCAAAAAGAGUUAGAUGAACCAACAAGAGCUGGAGUUUUUUAUGGUACGUCUGCUCUAACUUCAGAAGGCACUUUGGACUCCUUAACUCCAGAAAACCUCAGUGUACCCAUUUGAAAGUGAAAACAAGGGCACUCACUCUGUG